UAUCAUUACUGCUCCAUUUACCAUCCGUAGCAUAAGGAAAACUCUCAUUAAGGAUAUACUUUUAUAUAUACAAAAGAGGGGGAAAUUAGAGAAGAGCUCUGAUGAAGUUUUAUUUAAUCUCCAAAAUAAAAUUAAUUUCCUAUAUCUAGUUUUUCAAGCUUGAAUUUUAGUAGAACAUUAUUCAGACGCUUCUCAGAGUGUCUUUUAGCUUUGGCAUUCUCAGAGUGCCUUUUAGCUUUGGCAUCCAGUGAUUAGGUAAUCGAAGUAGUUCGUGCAUUAACUUGGAGUGGUGAGCCUCCCUACUUCGGAAGACAUUCAACAGAUCCGAGUACUAGAAACCAGCGUUGACGUGAUUCCUACUUUCCAGUACUAAUCCGGAGCAGGGUGAGCUUGCUGUCAUUCGAGGCUGAUCCUCCUUUAUCUAAUCCAGUUUAGUUUUUUGUACUCAAAACAACUUCUAUAUAUUGUGUAUAUUUUGAAUUCUUUCUAGUACUCUGAGUAUCUUUUAGUAGUGGCUCUAGUACCGACCUUACCAGGUCUUCAUAGAGAUUCAUUUGUAUAUC